AUUUCGUUAAUUAUCCUGUCUUUUUCGUCUAUAAAUAAUUCUAUGUCUAAAUCAUAUUCUAAACUGUCUUUUAAUUCUAGUUGUUUUAUGGUUUUAUUUAUCCAAAUUAAUCUUUCUUUUAAUUGUUCUCUUCCUUUUCUAAGCUGGUUUCUAUAAUUAAUUUCUUCGUAUAGCCAACUUUGUUUUUCUCUAACUCUUUGAAUAUAUUCUA
rnacentral:lncRNA from 1 species